rnacentral:rRNA from 1 species
UACGGAAGGCAGCAGUGGGGAAUAUUGCACAAUGGGCGAAAGCCUGAUGCAGCUAUGCCGCGUGUAUGAAGAAGGCCUUAGGGUUGUAAAGUACUUUCAUCGGGGAGGAAAAAACAAACUAAUAAUUUUAUUUCUUGACGUUACCCGAAAAAGAAGCACCGGCUAACUCCGUGCCAGCAGCCGCGGUAAUACGGAGGGUGCUAGCGUUAAUCAGAAUUACUGGGCGUAAAGAGCACGUAGGUGGUUUUUUAAGUCAGAUGUGAAAUCCCUGGGCUUAACCUAGGAACUGCAUUUUGAAACUGAAAUACUAGAGUAUCGUAGAGGGAGGUAGAAUUCUAGGUGUAGCGGUGAAAUGCGUAGAUAUCUGGAGGAAUACCUGUGGCGAAAGCGGCCUCCUAAACGAAUACUGACACUGAGGUGCGAAAGCGUGGGGAGCAAACAGGGAUUAGAUACC